CGGGGCGUGGCGCAGCCUGGCUAGCGCACCUGCUUUGGGAGCAGGGGGUCGCGAGUUCAAAUCUCGCCGCCCCGA
rnacentral:tRNA from 1 species